GACGAACGCUGGCGGCGUGCUUAACACAUGCAAGUCGAACGAAGUGGCGAACGGGUGAGUAACGCGUAAUCAACCUGCCCUUCAGAGGGGGACAACAGUUGGAAACGACUGCUAAUACCCCAUACUGAUGGUGUGGUUUGCGUGGGAUGAGCUAGUCGGAGGGGUAAAGGCCCACAAAGGCGAUGAUCAGUAGGCGGUCUGAGAGGAUGACCAGCAACAUUGGGACUGAGACACGGCCCAGACUCCUACGGGAGGCAGCAGUGGGGAAUCUUGCGCAAUGGACGAAAGUCUGACGGAGCAACGCCGCGUGAGUGAAGAAGGUCUUCGGAUUGUAAAGCACUUUAAGUUGGGAGGCGUUACCAACAGAAUAAGCACCGGCUAACUUCGUGCCAGCAGCCGCGGUAAUAC
rnacentral:rRNA from 1 species